rnacentral:rRNA from 1 species
UGGGGAAUAUUGGACAAUGGGCGAAAGCCUGAUCCAGCAAUGCCGCGUNUGUGAAGAAGGCCUUCGGGUUGUAAAAGCACUUUAAGUUGGGAAGAAAAAGCUCUGGCUAAUAUCUAGAGCCUUGACGGUACCAACAGGAUAAGCACCGGCUAAACUCUGUGCCAGCAGCCGCGGUAAUACAGAGGGUGCUAGCGUUAAUCGGAUUUACUGGGCGUAAGGCGUGCGUAGGCGGUUUGAUAAGUCGAUUGUGAAAGCCCCGGGCUUAACCUGGGAAUUGCAGUUGAUACUGUCAGACUAGAAAAACGGUAGAGGGAGGCGGAACUCCAGGUGUAGCGGUGAAAUGCGUAGAUAUCUGGAAGAACACCGAUGGCGAAGGCAACCCCCUGGGCCUGUUUUUGACGCUGAGGCACGAAAAGCGUGGGGUAGCAAACAGGAUUAGAUACCCUGGUAGUCCACGCCGUAAAACGAUGAGAACAUUGACG